rnacentral:lncRNA from 1 species
GAUCUUUGGUUUUCAGGAAAAUUUUUAAUUGUGUUAUUUUCUUCCGCUGCGUACACAUGUUUUUCUUACAGUCGUUUCAGAGCCACCCUCGUCGUUUGUUUUAGAUCCAAUCUCUUUUUCGAUGUUAAUUGGGUUUUUCGGAAUGAUCGAAAUCAAGAUAAUGAGGAUUAUUUUUGAACAAUUUUGAUUAUUUCGAAACGUUAAUUAAAG